rnacentral:rRNA from 1 species
AUUGAACGCUGGCGGAAUGCUUUACACAUGCAAGUCGAACGGCGGCACGGACUUCGGUCUGGUGGCGAGUGGCGAACGGGUGAGUAAUGUAUCGGAACGUGCCCAGUCGUGGGGGAUAACGUAGUGAAAAUUACGCUAAUACCGCAUACGAUCUAUGGAUGAAAGCGGGGGAUCGCAAGACCUCGCGCGAUUGGAGCGGCCGAUAUCAGAUUAGGUAGUUGGUGGGGUAAAGGCCCACCAAGCCAACGAUCUGUAGCUGGUCUGAGAGGACGACCAGCCACACUGGAACUGAGACACGGUCCAGACUCCUACGGGAGGCAGCAGUGGGGAAUUUUGGACAAUGGGCGAAAGCCUGAUCCAGCCAUUCCGCGUGCAGGAUGAAGGCCCUCGGGUUGUAAACUGCUUUUGUACAGAACGAAAAGGUUUCUACUAAUACUAGGAGCUCAUGACGGUACUGUAAGAAUAAGCACCGGCUAACUACGUGCCAGUAGCCGCAGUAA